AGCUCCAAUAGCGUAUAUUAAUGUUGUUGCAGUUAAAAAGCUCGUAGUUGGAUUCCUGACCUGGGGUAGCCGGUCCGCCUUGCAAAAGGUGCGCACUGAGCGGCCUCGGUCAUCCUUGAGAAGAGCGGUCCUGGCAUUCAGUUGUCGGGGUCGGGAUUCUCGACGUUUACUGUGAAAAAAUCAGAGUGUUCAACGCAGGCUUACGCCUUGAAUACAUUAGCAUGGAAUAAUGAGAUAGGACCUUGGCGGUCUAUUUUGUUGGUUUGCACGCCGAGGUAAUGAUUAAAAGGGACGGUUGGGGUUCUUCGUAUUCAAUUGUCAGAGGUGAAAUUCUUGGAUUUAUGGAAGACGAACUGCUGCGAAAGCGUCGAACAAGGACGUUCUCAUUAAUCAAGAACGA
rnacentral:rRNA from 1 species